UUUCCGUAGGUGAACCUGCGGAAGGAUCAUUACUGAAGAAAUGGUAGGGUUGAUGCUGGCUCUUCGGAGUAUGUGCUCGCCUUAUCGCUUUUUCUACUUCUCCACCUGUGCACCUAUUGUAGAUCGUGUUGGAAAUCCUUUGUGGUUUCUCGUUCAUUUUGAAUGGUUCAGAGGUCUUGCUUUUUUGGCUAGACUUCAACUCUUCACGAUCUAUGUUAUAUCAACUCUUUAAAGUCUUUGAAUGUACUAGUUGGUCUUUAUUGACCGAUAAUUUUAAAACAACUUUCAGCAACGGAUCUCUUGGCUCUCGCAUCGAUGAAGAACGCAGCGAAAUGCGAUAAGUAAUGUGAAUUGCAGAAUUCAGUGAAUCAUCGAAUCUUUGAACGCACCUUGCACUCCUUGGUAUUCCGAGGAGUAUGCCUGUUUGAGUGUCAUUAAAUUCUCAAGCUUCAACCUUGUUGUAAUGACUUGGUUGUUGUUUGGACUUGAGGGUUGCCGCGAGUUCUUGGACUUUUGAACGGCUCCCUUUAAAUGCAUUAGUGGUGACUUGGAUCCACUAUCAAAUGUGUUGAUAGUUAUCUACACUUUGAAGCGACCGAUUGUCUUUCCGCUUCUAACUGUCCUUUGGGACAAUAUCUCGAAAUUGACCUCAAUCCGGAGG
rnacentral:rRNA from 1 species